AAUUCGCCCUUAGAGUUUGAUCCUGGCUCAGGAUGAACGCUGGCGGCGUGCCUAACACAUGCAAGUCGAACGGUUAAGCCGGCUUCGGCCGGGAAUACAGUGGCGAACGGGUGAGUAACACGUGACCAACCUGCCCCCCGCUCCGGGACAACCGCUGGAAACGGCGGCUAAUACCGGGUACUCCGCGGGCCCCGCAUGGGGCCGGCGGGAAAGCCCAGGCGGCGGGGGAUGGGGUCGCGGCCCAUUAGGUAGUAGGCGGGGUAGAGGCCCACCUAGCCGACGAUGGGUAGCCGGACUGAGAGGUCGACCGGCCACAUUGGGACUGAGAUACGGCCCAGACUCCUACGGGAGGCAGCAGUGGGGAAUUUUGCGCAAUGGGGGAAACCCUGACGCAGCAACGCCGCGUGCGGGACGAAGGCCCUCGGGCUGUAAACCGCUUUCAGCAGGGAAGACAUCGACGGUACCUGCAGAAGAAGCUCCGGCUAACUACGUGCCAGCAGCCGCGGUAAUACGUAGAGGGCGAGCGUUAUCCGGAUUCAUUGGGCGUAAAGCGCGCGUAGGCGGCCGCCUAAGCGGAACCUCUAACCCCGGGGCUCAACCUCGGGCCGGGUUCCGGACUGGGCGGCUCGAGUGCGGUAGAGGAGAGCGGAAUUCCCGGUGUAGCGGUGGAAUGCGCAGAUAUCGGGAAGAACACCGAUGGCGAAGGCAGCUCUCUGGGCCGUCACUGACGCUGAGGCGCGAAAGCUGGGGGAGCGAACAGGAUUAGAUACCCUGGUAGUCCACACCGUAAACGAGGAUCCACUAGGGUGGGGGGGUGUGGACCCCCUUCCGUGCCGGAGUUAACACCAAUAAGUGAUCCACCCGGGGGAGUGACGGGCCGCACGGGUGAAACUCAAAAGGAAUUGACGGGGGCCCGCACAAGCAGUGGAGUAUGUGGUUUAAUUUGAAGCAACGCGAAGAACCUUACCAGGUCUUGACAUCGUGCGCAUAGCCUAGAGAUAAGGUGAAGCCCUUCGGGGCGCACAGACAGGUGGUGCAUGGUUGUCGUCAGCUCGUGUCGUGAGAUGUUGGGUUAAGUCCCGCAACGAGCGCAACCCUUACCUUCAGUAGCCAGCACGUAAUGGUGGGCACUCUGGAGGGACUGCCGGGGACAACCCGGAGGAAGGUGGGGAGGACGUCAAAUCAUCAUGCCCCUUAUGGCCAGGGCUACACACGUGCUACAAUGGCGCAAACAAAGGGAAGCAGAGCUGUGAGGCCGAGCAAAUCCCAAAAACAGCGUCCCAGUUCGGAUUGUAGUCUGCAACUCGACUACAUGAAGCCGGAAUCGCUAGUAAUCGCGAAUCAGAAUGUCGCGGUGAAUACGUUCCCGGGUCUUGCACUCACCGCCCGUCAAG
rnacentral:rRNA from 1 species